AACGCGAAGAACCUUACCUGGCCUUGACAUCUACGGAACCUUGCAGAGAUGCAGGGGUGCCUUCGGGAACCGUAAGACAGGUGCUGCAUGGCUGUCGUCAGCUCGUGUCGUGAGAUGUUGGGUUAAGUCCCGCAACGAGCGCAACCCUUGUCCUUAGUUGCCAUCAUUCAGUUGGGAACUCUAAGGAGACCGCCGGUGACAAACCGGAGGAAGGUGGGGAUGACGUCAAGUCAUCAUGGCCUUUAUGGCCAGGGCUACACACGUGCUACAAUGGCAGGUACAGAGGGAAGCCAACUCGCGAGAGGGAGCCAAUCCCAGAAAGCCUGUCGUAGUCCGGAUCGGAGUCUGCAACUCGACUCCGUGAAGUCGGAAUCGCUAGUAAUCGCAGAUCAGCAUUGCUGCGGUGAAUACGUUCCCGGGCCUUGUA
rnacentral:rRNA from 1 species